GAAAACCUAAAAAAAGGAGGACAGACUGCAAAAAAAAAAAAAAGUGAUGACAGGAAUGAAGGGAAACUAGAGACCCAGCAGACCACAUUCAAGGUAUUCAAACUAAACCAAAACAGUUCACCCCACCAGAUGUAGGGAAGCGGAGACGCUCAAGAAUAACUGGAAUGUGUGGAGGAGGUUAAAGGGCCGAAAACUGUUCACGUGCAGCAGACUUUAAAAGAACAGAGAGGGUAUUAAAAAGAGACAUUAUUCAAUGACAAAUGGGUCGAGUGGAUCUCGUCUUUGGAAACACGUUACAUGGAACAACUUUCUCUCAACACUGUGAAAGGAUCUCGCUGAAUACUCCACCGCUAUACUACACAAUCACUGGGCAAGAAAGUAGCUAAUUCAGGCCAUGGAGCCAGAGAGCAGCAAUCUCAGAUCGGUUUAGAGGGUAACCAUGAGCAGUCCAAUGCCAGGAAAGGAAGUGACAUGGUCAGGACAAGCAUCGGAGCAUCUUAUCAGGAUGACUGGAAGAGCCAGACAAAGCGCCUGCGGCAUGUCUGUUUCAAUCAGAAACACCUCUUUCACAUCACGAGCGGAAGGAAGACAAAGACGUGAUGUGAGCCGCAGAGUUCUGUGGGGUUAGACAUUGUGGAUGUGCCAAAGUACAUAUUUUCAAAAUCGACUAGUUGGUGGAUUGCCUGAAUGUUUAAUUAACUAAAUGGUAUUGAGAAAGACUUGUACAAUUAGGCUGGUUCACCUGAACCUGAUCGGACAUGUUCGUUAAGGGGGGGCUCGCACACAUGACAUGGACAGACGGGUGUCCUAAAAUUCAAAAGCAGUGUUGAAUGUGCAUAGAAAAUGUUUGCCACUCAAUUCUCAAUUACAUUUAAUUCAACCCAAUAUGUUAGCAAGGGUCAUACAUUACUUUGGACCAGUAAUGUAGUCUAGGGCAUACGCUGUAUACCCACCUAUCUUUCUUAGGAUUUUGCGUAUGCACACUUGAAAUAAUUGAUGAUACGCAUGGCUUCCAGAACAACGAGAAGCCUUUAGACCCGGAACUUUUUUAAUCUACUACCGUGAUGCCGCCAGCACCAUUGAGUGAAUUGUGUGCAUAUAUACACAUAUAUAUACACACACUCAAAACGGUUUUAAAAGCAUCCCAGGGUGAUAAAUAAAGAAGAAAACUUCGAGAACAUGUCUAAUAUGACUACUUUGAAGAUGCUAAAAUAUAACAGUUUUGAUUUAUUUUGGAUUUUGUUUAGUCAUCAUAAUUCCCAUUCAUGUUCUUCCAUAGUUUUGAUUACUAUUAUUCUAAAAUGUGAAAACAUAAUAAUAAUAAUAAUAAUAAAGAAUGAGUAAGUGUUUCAAAACAUUGUGUGUGUGUGUGUGUGUGUGUACACAUUUAGCAUUUUAGAAAGUGUCAUCUUUUUGCACAUGUUUGCACGUGCACUUAAUGUAGAAAUGUUAUUUAGUUUGUGUAGUCUCAUGUGGUUCUGUGUUUGUCCUAUGUUGUUUUAUGUAGCACCAUGGUCCUGGAGGAACGUUGUCUCGUUUUGCUGUGUACUGUACUAACUGUAUAUGAUUGAACAACAAUAAAAACCACUUGACUUGUGUGUGUGUGUGUGUGAGAAUGAUGAAAAACUGCAUGCUAUUGCACCCCUGCUUUUUUUUUGCUGUCUGUGGUGCCUUUUUCUUGUGAUAUCAAAUCAUUUCAAUGUACAUUUGUAAAUAUGAAAAUAAUU